rnacentral:rRNA from 1 species
GACGAACGCUGGCGGCGUGCUUAACACAUGCAAGUCACGGGGGCUCGCAAGGGCAACCGGCGAACGGGUGCGUAACACGUGAACAACCUGCCCUCGUGUGGGGGAUAGCCGGGCUAACGCCCGGGUAAUACCGCUUACGUUCUCGUGGGGGAGUCCCUGCGGGAGGAAAGCUCCGGCGCACGGGGAGGGGUUCGCGGCCUAUCAGCUAGUUGGCGGGGUAACGGCCCACCAAGGCGACGACGGGUAGCUGGUCUGAGAGGAUGGCCAGCCACAUAGGGACUGAGAGACGGCCCAGACUCCUACGGGAGGCAGCAGUGGGGAAUCUUGCGCAAUGGUCGGAAGACUGACGCAGCGACGCCGCGUGUGGGAGGACGCCUUUCGGGGUGUAAACCACUGUUGCCCGGGACGAACUGGCUUAUUCGUAAGCCCUGACGGUACCGGGUGAGGAAGCACCGGCUAACUCCGUGCCAGCCGCCGCGGUAAGAC